rnacentral:rRNA from 1 species
GGGCCCGCACAAGCGGUGGAGCAUGUGGUUUAAUUCGAUGCAACGCGAAGAACCUUACCAUCCCUUGACAUCCUUGAAAGAAAGUGGAGACAUUUUUGUGCCUUCGGGAAUCAAGUGACAGGUGCUGCAUGGCUGUCGUCAGCUCGUGUCGUGAGAUGUUGGGUUAAGUCCCGCAACGAGCGCAACCCUUGUCCUUAGUUGCCAGCAUUUAGUUGGGCACUCUAAGGAGACUGCCGGUGACAAACCGGAGGAAGGUGGGGGACGACGUCAAGUCAUCAUGGCCCUUACGGGAUGGGCUACACACGUGCUACAAUGGUAGAUACAGAGGGAAGCAAGACGGCGACGUG